AUACAAAAUCAGGAGUCAAAAGAAAACCUGUUUUAAAAAAAAUGCAAUGUUAUAUAACAAAGGGUUGAAUAAUAAUACAUGAACAGAAAAAUUAGUAAGAAGCUUCAACUUCCUCAAAAGAAAAGUUGGCAAAGGAUGGCACAGACAAUUCACAAACUGAAGAAAAAGAUGAAUAAGCCAAAAGAAAAAAAAAAAGGCCAAUUCUCACUUGCAAAAUAAAACCAGAUGCAGAUUCCUUUACAAACUGACAAAGAAGUUUUUAAGUAUAAUGACCAGUGUUGGCAAAUGAAUUUGUCCCUUUCAAGUAUCAUGUGAGAGUUUCAUGUGAUAAAGUUUUUCUGGGAAGCUAUUCAGAACCAUCAAGUAAAUAUCUAAAAAUUAUUAAUAUCUUCUGACCUAUAAACUUUACUCUUUAGGGAUUAUCCUGAGAAAAUAAUCAGACCUGUAACAAACAUUUACAUACAAGGAUAAACAAAUAAGAGCAAGGAUUAACCCAUGGCCUUAUGAACAACAGUGAAAAAUGAAAACAACAAAAUUCCUCAAGGAGAGGAGUUUUAAAAAAUUAUUUAACUUGGAAAUUGCUACUGAUAUAAUUUUAAAUGGAAAACAGCAGAACACAUAACAUUUCUCAGAUAUACCAUUCCGAGUCUGUAAAAAAAAAAUCUUUACAUAUAUAUAUAUAUUUUAUAUAUAUUUAGAAAGGUACUGGAAAAAUAUGAUUCUCUGAGAAUUUUAAUAAUAUAUGAUUGUUUCAAUUUUAUUCAUUUUUUCCCUUCAUUUUCCAAAUUUUCUUCAAAGGAAAUAAUAUUUUAUUGAUUAAAAAUAUAAGAAAGAAAUGGUUAAUAUAUUUCUUCCAACAGUACUGGCACACCAUAAAAUAUUUUUGAAGCUUUCCUUUGGAAGUAUAUUCUGGGCUUAAGCUGUAAAAACACACCAAUGCAUAAAACUAGCCUUGUUUUUUACAAUUAGUGCCCUUUCUGGAGUCAGAAAUUCAGAUAGUGUUAUGGACUGAAUUGUGUUCCUUGGAAAAGUCAUACAUUGAAAUCUAAACCACUAUGUGGCUGCAUUUGGAGAGAGAGGGUCUUUAGGAGGAAAUUAGGGCUAAAUGAGAUCAUAAGGGUGGGGCCCUAAUUCAGCAAGACUAUUGGCCUUAUAAGAAGAGGAAGAGAGUUCUCCCUGUUUCCCUGUCCUCCUCUCCCUCUUCUCACACACCAAGAGACAGCCAUGAAAGAACACAGUGGAAUGGCGGCCACCCACAAGCCACGAGACCUCAGAAUGAAACCUAUCUUGCCAGCAUCUUGAUCUUGGACUUUACAGCUUCCAGAUCUGUGAGAAAUAUCUGUGGAUAAUAACAGAAGUAUGCUUUUUUAAAAAAGCCACUUUCAUGAGAGAAUCCUUACAAAUGGAGGGACUACUUAGGAGUGUACACCACCUGUUUGGUGGAGUAGAUAGAAAAACAAAGCAGCUUUCAAACAGGUGCUGUUUGCAGUAGCAACCAUACUGAGAAGGCACCUGAAUUCUGCUGAGAGAUCCUGAAACUUGAAAGGAAAGGAAAUUUGAAAUGUGCAAACACAUUAUUGUUCAACUUUGCAGAUCAUCUUAUUACCUUAAAACUUCACAGUGUCUGUGUCUCUUCUCUCUGUGUCACAUUCUCUGCUGCCAGCUGUGGGCUUAGCUGUUCUCUGAUACAUACUCACCCUGAGAGGUGUGCAUACUGAUACUUUGUGGGAAUUUCUUACUUAAAGUUAUUUCCUCUCCAAACUGAGAAGAGUCAAGAACUGGAUCUAUUAAAUUCAUGAUCAUUUCUGACAUUUAAAAUGAACAAUAUAGGAUAGCAAUUUAAAUGAAUAUGAGGGAUCUACCAAAAACAAUAAUAACGGACACAUUAGGAGGAUACAAAAGUAAGCUUUCUUUUAUCACUUCCUCAUGUCAAAAACAGAAGUGGGAAGUAUUGCACUCAUGAAAAACUUUUAAAAUAUAAUAGUUUCCAGUUUGAAACAUUGUCCCAAUAAAUGUGGACAUAACAACUUUAAUGUAGUUCUUUAUUCUGGAUACCAAAUUCAGGUAGUUUACUAAAAGUCUUAAGGUAUUUUCUGAAUAAAAAUAUUUUCCUCCUUUAAGACUAAGCACCAUGGUUAAUUAAGAACUUGUAAAACUGGUUCUACUAGCAAAGUAUAAUGUCUUCAUGCCCUAUUUACCACAUUAGAAGAAAGCAAGGUUCUCCUUUUUUCUCAUUCUUGUUUUAGCCUGAACACAUGGCAUUUUCUGAAGCUAUGCCAGAUUCUGAUCAGGUACUAUUAAAGCAGUGAUAUCUGUGGGUUACUGCACACACUAUCUUCAUAGUUUCUCCUGUGAGAUCCCUUUAAAGUUUCUACUCUUGGCCAUUUUCAUGUGGAUGUGGAUGUGUGAGUACCUCAAGGUAUUAAGUAGUUGUAUCAUCAAUAAAUGUUGGUGAUACUUAUCUCUAUUUCUUUGGAUUCUAGAAUGCAAGACAUUUGAGAUGACCUACUAAGACAGAGAUCUAAGUGACAAGUGUUAAAGAGAAAAAACAUGAUUUGAUUGGAAAAGACUUAGAAGAAAAUACAGAGGCUACUUUCUGCAGGAUAUGUCCAGGGUGACUGUUCUCCAGUAUUUUAGAAUCCUUGCUAAAUUCCCUGUUUUUGAUUCACUGUAGUGAAUAGCAAAUCAAACACAAAGAAUUCAGAAUUUACUAGCUGGUAAUAUUUAACAAGUUCAGAAUACUCAAAAAAGUCUUCAUGUGGUAAAAAAGAGGGGUGGUUGGGGGGGAUUUUUCUGGUUCUAUUUUCUUAAUGUUUUUAUUUAACUCUCAUUUCUGAGGAAAUGUAAAUAUUUCUGUAGUAUAACUCUUGUUCAGAUGGCCUCCUCCACCCUUGACCUACUCCUCUUUUAUCUUCUCUCUUAUUCUCCUAACCUUUCCUCUCCCUGUCAAAUACCUGAUGGAUAAAGGGAGUGAAGACAGUCUCAUCACCAACCCUGGCUUGAAUGCUCUUAAAGUUUUUCCUAGUAAAAUCAAGUAGUCAUACAUAUUAAUUAACUAAACUACUGAAGUAAAUACCUCUGAAAAUAUAAUGUUUGAAAUAAAAUAGCACUGGAUUUAUCUCUCAAGUCACCCUCUGAGUCGGGGUUCUGCUCCACUCAGUUAUGCAAGAACCCAACCCAGAAUGAUAUUCCCUCCAUCUUCAACAUUUGGCUUCUAAGGUCUGUCUUGUCAUCACUAUUUCAGCCAGUGGGAAAGAAGAAAGAGCUGCAGGAGUGAGUAUGCAAGUUUUCAAGGCAAGGCUUGAAUGCUCUUCAUUACCUUUGCUCAUACUUCAUUGGAGAGACCUUAGUCUUAUGCCCACAACUAGCUGCAGAGGGAGCAGAAAAAUAUAGUCUAUGUCUGGGCAGCUCUGUCCCCAUUAUGACUCUAUCUUACUAUGGAAACAAUGGAACAAAAAUUUUGGUGGACAGCUUGCGAUCUCCCCCCCACCUUCUAAGCCCUUUCAUGGUUUUAAUAAGAACAUGAAGAUAAGAUGUAGGCACAAGAAUCAAUUGUGCUGGGUCCCAUGCAGAACAAACUAUUCCUAUUGGCUUGUAUCAUCCAUUUGCAAUGGGAAUGUAUUUGCUUAAUGAAUUAUUAUAUACACCUAUUUCACAAAUGUGUUAGAAAAAAAUGAGAAAAUAUACAUGAAAGCUGUUUGGAAAAACUAAAAGCAAUUUAUAGUUCUAUAGCAUUAGAAAUUAAAUUGAAUUAUUUCUCCCUUGUUCAAAUCAAAUCAAAGAAGGAGUUAGUCUGAGCCCAUAAAGCCAAUGCCUAACAUUUCCAUAAUCAAAUAAAACAUAAUGACCAACCAGUAAACUGAGAAAGCGAUUAAUCCUCAAAUAGAGUCCAAACAGGAGAACAUAGGUAAGGAAAGAAUACAUGUAAGUGACAAACUAGCAUGCUUUCAUUGACAAUGGGCCACAGAAAUAAAGGCAGGUUUAGAGAUACAGACAACCAUUUUUAUUCAGUCAUUCAGUGUCACAGCUCUAAGAACACCAAAAUGACUACCAUUCUGGCAGCAUCACUGAAGAUUUGGAGGAUCAGUGCAGUUUGAAGGCAAAAUAUAGUGGGGAAGUCUAGAAAAUGAUAAGGCCAUCUGUAAAUGAACCCUGGAUACAGAAUGUUGAUGAGACUUUUAAGUUUUGUCCCUGGAGGACAGACAAAUCAAAGCAGGAAGAUAAACAGGAGACAGAACAGAAUUCCUUCACUAGGAACACACAAAAAUGAAGCUCAUAGCAGAAUGCAUAAUAUAUUGGCUAGACCCAGUUUUUCAAGAACAUUAAAAUAGGGAUAUAAACUCUAUGCCUAAUCCCACAUAACAAUCCUGAUCAAUACUCUGAUAUGUAGUGUAAAGAGGCCAGCUAAGUUUAGGUAAUGGAGGUCCUCUGACCCCAUUGACCUUGUUACGGCUUUAGAGAGUCAACGUUUUGCCAUUAAAUGUCAGAUCAAUUCCCAAUGCUUUAAACAUUACCCAGAAGUCUCUGGCUUCCUGGAAUCUUUAAUAAAAAAAAAUAACCUACCAUUUUUAAGAGUCUAAGGAAUUAUUAUGUACUACAUUAGCUUAGUUAAUCUUGCUUGCUCAAUUUUUAAUAUUCCUGCC